rnacentral:rRNA from 1 species
AUUGAACGCUGGCGGCAGGCAUAACACAUGCAAGUCGAGCGGAGCGGCGGACGGGGGAGUAAUGCAUAGGAAAUUGCCUGGUAGUGGGGGAGAACGGCCGGAAACGGGGGCUAAUAACGCAUAACAUCAGAUGAGCCUAGGUCGGAUUAGCGAGUUGGUGGGGUAAAGGCCUACCAAGGGGACGAACCGUAACUGGUCUGAGAGGAUGAUCAGUCACACUGGAACUGAGACACGGUCCAGACUCCUACGGGAGGCAGCAGUGGGGAAUAUUGGACAAUGGGCGAAAGCCUGAUCCAGCCAUGCCGCGUGUGUGAAGAAGGUCUUCGGAUUGUAAAGCACUUUAAGUUGGGAGGCGUUACCAACAGAAUAAGCACCGGCUAACUUCGUGCCAGCAGCCGCGGUAAUUC